UACGAAGGGGGCUAGCGUUGCUCGGAAUCACUGGGCGUAAAGCGCACGUAGGCGGCUUUUUAAGUCAGGGGUGAAAUCCUGGAGCUCAACUCCAGAACUGCCUUUGAUACUGGAGAGCUCGAGUCCGGAAGAGGUGAGUGGAACUGCGAGUGUAGAGGUGAAAUUCGUAGAUAUUCGCAAGAACACCAGUGGCGAAGGCGGACUCACUGGUCCGGUACUGACGCUGAGGUGCGAAAGCGUGGGGAGCAAACAGGG
rnacentral:rRNA from 1 species